CUCAGAUUGAACGCUGGCGGCAGGCCUAACACAUGCAAGUCGAGCGGUAGAGAGGUGCUUGCAUCUCUUGAGAGCGGCGGACGGGUGAGUAAUGCCUAGGAAUCUGCCUAGUGGUGGGGGAUAACGUUCGGAAACGGACGCUAAUACCGCAUACGUCCUACGGGAGAAAGCGGGGGAUCUUCGGACCUCGCGCCAUUAGAUGAGCCUAGGUCGGAUUAGCUAGUUGGUGAGGUAAAGGCUCACCAAGGCGACGAUCCGUAACUGGUCUGAGAGGAUGAUCAGUCACACUGGAACUGAGACACGGUCCAGACUCCUACGGGAGGCAGCAGUGGGGAAUAUUGGACAAUGGGCGAAAGCCUGAUCCAGCCAUGCCGCGUGUGUGAAGAAGGUCUUCGGAUUGUAAAGCACUUUAAGUUGGGAGGAAGGGUAGUAACCUAAUACGUUGCUACUUUGACGUUACCGACAGAAUAAGCACCGGCUAACUUCGUGCCAGCAGCCGCGGUAAUACGAAGGGUGCAAGCGUUAAUCGGAAUUACUGGGCGUAAAGCGCGCGUAGGUGGUUCAGCAAGUUGGAUGUGAAAGCCCUGGGCUCAACCUGGGAACUGCAUCCAAAACUACUGAGCUAGAGUACGGUAGAGGGUAGUGGAAUUUCCUGUGUAGCGGUGAAAUGCGUAGAUAUAGGAAGGAACACCAGUGGCGAAGGCGACUACCUGGACUGAUACUGACACUGAGGUGCGAAAGCGUGGGGAGCAAACAGGCUUAGAUACCCUGGUAGUCCACGCCGUAAACGAUGUCGACUAGCCGUUGGGAUCCUUGAGAUCUUAGUGGCGCAGCUAACGCAUUAAGUCGACCGCCUGGGGAGUACGGCCGCAAGGUUAAAACUCAAAUGAAUUGACGGGGGCCCGCACAAGCGGUGGAGCAUGUGGUUUAAUUCGAAGCAACGCGAAGAACCUUACCUGGCCUUGACAUGCUGAGAACUUUCUAGAGAUAGAUUGGUGCCUUCGGGAACUCAGACACAGGUGCUGCAUGGCUGUCGUCAGCUCGUGUCGUGAGAUGUUGGGUUAAGUCCCGUAACGAGCGCAACCCUUGUCCUUAGUUACCAGCACGUUAUGGUGGGCACUCUAAGGAGACUGCCGGUGACAAACCGGAGGAAGGUGGGGAUGACGUCAAGUCAUCAUGGCCCUUACGGCCAGGGCUACACACGUGCUACAAUGGUCGGUACAAAGGGUUGCCAAGCCGCGAGGUGGAGCUAAUCCCAUAAAACCGAUCGUAGUCCGGAUCGCAGUCUGCAACUCGACUGCGUGAAGUCGGAAUCGCUAGUAAUCGUGAAUCAGAAUGUCACGGUGAAUACGUUCCCGGGCCUUGUACACACCGCCCGUCACACCAUGGGAGUGGGUGCUCCAGAAGUAGCUAGUCU
rnacentral:rRNA from 1 species